rnacentral:rRNA from 1 species
CAGUCGCCACGGUAAUACGAAGGGUGCAAGCGUUAAUCGGAAUUACUGGGCGUAAAGCGUGCGUAGGCGGUUUGUUAAGUCUGUUGUGAAAUCCCCGGGCUCAACCUGGGAAUGGCAAUGGAUACUGGCAAGCUAGAGUGUGUCAGAGGAUGGUGGAAUUCCCGGUGUAGCGGUGAAAUUCGUAGAUAUUCGGAAGAACACCAGUGGCGAAGGCGGCUUACUGGCUCAUACUGGACGCUGAGGUGCGAAAGCGUGGGGAGCAAACGGGAUUAGAUACCCGAGUAGUCCCUGUCCUUAUACA